GGCCGAUAUGUAUAAACAGGACCCCAACUUCAGGGUGGUCCGUGAGGGCCUCGUGCAAUCUGAGGAGUAGUUGAGGAAGCGAGUGGCAGAGUUGGAGAAGGUCGAUGAAUAGCUCAUGGCCGCUAUUGCUCGGACUGCGGAAAUGGAGGUCCUCCUUCAAGCUAAGGAUGAAGAGUGCAGCUCAGCCGCGUAGUGGCAGAGGAGGCAGAAGAAUUGCGUACCCGGGUCGCGGCCUUAACGGAGGAGUUUGAUGCCAAAAAGGCCGAAGUUGAGGAUCUCAAGC
rnacentral:lncRNA from 1 species